AUAUCAAUAAGCGGAGGAAAAGAAACUAACAAGGAUUCCCCUAGUAACUGCGAGUGAAGCGGGAAAAGCUCAAAUUUAAAAUCUGGUGGUCUCCGGCCGUCCGAGUUGUAAUCUAGAGAAGUGUUAUCCGCGCUGGACCGUGUACAAGUCUCCUGGAAUGGAGCGUCAUAGAGGGUGAGAAUCCCGUCUUUGAUCCAGAUGUAGCCUUCUAUGUGAUACGUCUUCAAAGAGUCGGUUUGUUUGGGAAUGCAGACCAAAAUGGGUGGUAAAUUCCAUCUAAAGCUAAAUAUUGGCGAGAGACCGAUAGCGCACAAGUA
rnacentral:rRNA from 1 species